rnacentral:lncRNA from 1 species
AGCAGUCCUAUUUAUCUGCAGUAGUAUUAAGUCCUAUUGCUAAGUUACUACAAAAAAGAUCAUAUUCUGAAAGAAAAUAACUGACAUUAUAUAUAACCAAUUAAUUUAAAGUAUUGCCAUUUAAAUUACACACCAAGAGCAUGUACCAUGCAGACACAGAUUUUUCUGUUCAUCUAUUUUUCUUUAUGCAGUGGAUCAAUUUGACAAAUAGAUGUUGAAUUACUACAUUGGCUGUACAUAUUAUUUAAUAAACUUCAUUCAAAA